UACGUAGGGAGCAAGCGUUGUCCGGAAUCAUUGGGCGUAAAGCGCGCGUAGGCGGCCCUGUAAGUCCGCUGUGAAAGUCAAAGGCUCAACCUUUGAAAGCCGGUGGAUACUGCAGGGCUAGAGUCCGGAAGAGGCGAGUGGAAUUCCUGGUGUAGCGGUGGAAUGCGCAGAUAUCAGGAGGAACACCGAUAGCGAAGGCAGCUCGCUGGGACGGUACUGACGCUAAGGCGCGAAAGCGUGGGGAGCGAAGAGG
rnacentral:rRNA from 1 species